rnacentral:rRNA from 1 species
AAUAGAUACCCGGGUAGUCCACGCCGUAAACGAUGAGUGCUAAGUGUUAGGGGGUUUCCGCCCCUUAGUGCUGCAGCUAACGCAUUAAGCACUCCGCCUGGGGAGUACGGUCGCAAGACUGAAACUCAAAGGAAUUGACGGGGGCCCGCACAAGCGGUGGAGCAUGUGGUUUAAUUCGAAGCAACGCGAAGAACCUUACCAGGUCUUGACAUCCCAUUGACCACUAUGGAGACAUAGUUUUCCCUUCGGGGACAACGGUGACAGGUGGUGCAUGGUUGUCGUCAGCUCGUGUCGUGAGAUGUUGGGUUAAGUCCCGCAACGAGCGCAACCCUUGUUCUUAGUUGCCAUCAUUUAGUUGGGCACUCUAAGGAGACUGCCGGUGACAAACCGGAGGAAGGUGGGGAUGACGUCAAAGUCAUCAUGCCCCUUAUGACCUGGGCUACACACGUGCUACAAUGGACGGUACAAACGGUUGCCAACCCGCGAGGGGGAGCUAAAUCCGGAUAAAACCGUUCUCAGUUCGGAUUGUAGGCUGCAACUCGCCUACAUGAAGCC